UACGGGGGGGGCAAGCGUUGUUCGGAUUUACUGGGCGUAAAGGGCGCGUAGGCGGCAUGACAAGUCACUUGUGAAAUCUCCGGGCUUAACUCGGAACGGUCAAGUGAUACUGUCGCACUAGAGUGCGGAAGGGGCAAUCAGAAUUCUUGGUGUAGCGGUGAAAUGCGUAGAUAUCAAGAGGAAUACCUGAGGUGAAGACGGGUUGCUAGGCCGACACUGACGCUGAAGCGCGAAAGCCAGGGGAGCAAACGGG
rnacentral:rRNA from 1 species